GCCCUGAUGGCUCAGUUGGUUAGAGCGCAGGUCUCAUACUUUGUAUGACCGGUCUUUGUUACCGGGCAAUCCUGAGGUCGCAAGUUCGAACCUUGCUCAGGGCA